rnacentral:hammerhead_ribozyme from 1 species
GCACUGCUGAAGAGUCCCACAAUAGGAUGAAGCGGCCGUCGAGUAC